rnacentral:rRNA from 1 species
CACGUAGGGCGCAAGCGUUGUCCGGAAUUAUUGGGCGUAAAGAGCUCGUAGGCGGUCUGUUGCGUCCGCUGUGAAAACCCGGGGCUUAACCCCUGGCUUGCAGUGGAUACGGACAGACUAGAGGUAGGUAGGGGAGAAUGGAAUUCCCGGUGUAGCGGUGAAAUGCGCAGAUAUCGGGAGGAACACCGGUGGCGAAGGCGGCAUCCUGGACCGGUAUUGACGCUGAGGCGCGAAAGCUAGGGGAGCAAACGGG